GAGGGGCUUUUCUGACGUCACGCGGGCAAAUACCCAGCACGCAAUACAGCCGGGCGCCUUUAGAUGGAGAGGAGCGUCCUGCCUGGGGUGGGCCCGGCAGGGGGGCAGGCUGCCCGCUCGCCCGGCUGCGCUCCGGAGUCAGCGAUCCGGUCUGCACGCAACGUGGAUGGAGCGUGCUCCUCCGUCUGCGUUGCCCUGCUGCGUCCACAUGAUUGUACUGCUGCCAAAUCGACAUCGCUCACGGAUUGUAUAGCUGCGGCCAGUGCCGAUCUGGCGCUGUAAUCGAUGUGGAUCCAGGAAUACAAGCUAUGUCCAGGGUGGAUUCAGCCGUGUAAUCCAUGUGCUAUGAGUUAUCAGCAUGGUCCAUGUGCAAUAUGGAUUCACCACUGUAAUCCAUCUGCAGUGCAGGAGCUGGUGAUUUGGAUCUGAUCAUCUCUUUGCAGGCAGGCAAGAAGAGCAUAGCAAGAAGUAUUCAUUCGUUUUGAGGGUAUAUAUUAACCUGUACUAUUCUUCUUUGAGUUUUAGCAAAACAGAACAAAGUGCAGUAACUGCCAAUAAAAAAUAACAAACUCUUGUAAUGUACAUAUACCAAGAAUGUAUAAUUUGAUUUCUUGAAGCAUUCUUUUCUAGGGGUACUUUAUAUUUAAAGAGUAGUAAGACUAGUUAAUUGCUGGUGUGUUUAAUCAACCCUUUCUCAAUGAUUAACCCUACAAAGAACUCAUCCAGGGGACACCCCAGAAGGGAACAGUCAUGUUAAUUAUUUGUUAAACUGAGAUUUAUAGUCAAAACUUCUUUGUACAGUGAAUACAAAUAUAAAGUUAGGAGUGCUCAUAAUAGUGAACUUUCUAUAUAUAUUUCCUGGUAGGCCUCCAGGUUUUCAGAGCAGCACAAGUCAAACAAGGCCAGUAGUUAAGUGUGAAAAGGUGCAGCUGAAGAUAACCAGUUUAAGUAACACUUCAUCAUAAAGACAUUUUAUUUUCCACUCAUGUGAACCCUGCUGGUAUUUUUGCUCACUGCUCUGCUCAUUAACAAAACUAGGGGGCAGCCUUUCCUCAUGUUAAGCAGCACUUAUUUGCAGAAGAGAUCCCCUUGUGCACCCAGGCACACACUCAAAAGUCCCCACUUGCAAGUGUUCCCCUUGGGGAAGAGGGUUGAAGAAGGAGGCACACGCUGCUUGUUGCAUUGGUGAAUGGAAGGUGCACAGAUACCAGGGUGACAGGAAGGCUACAAGAACCUGAAUAGCCUAAGCUACACAGGUGAGCAAACACUUUUCAGUUUUAAUCAGAUUUGUAGAAUUUGACUUUGUAAAAUCAGCAUAAACUAGAAGAAGGAGAAGUAGUUUUAUACAGGAGUUCUCAUAUACAUCUACAAUUAAUACCUUCAAAAUCAAGAAAGCCUCCUUUCCCAAACCAAAUUCCACUAUUUCAUUUUUCUCUUCACUGAAUCUCCCCAGCACCUCCCUCCCCACCAAGCUACCUCUCCCCUUCUGUUUGCCCCACUCCCUUGUUAAAGUGUCUUAUUGAGCAAUUGCCUGGCUUCAGCCUCACUGGUGGCUUUGGUUGUCUUGGUGACAUGUUGCUCUUUCCCCAAUAAUGACUACAAGCCCCUCUUCUCUUAGAGUUUUAGAAGCUUCUUGUGAAGGCUGUGACGUUCCUGUGAAGGCUGUGAGGUUUGCCCUUCCAUCGUUCCAGCUGUUUUUACAGGGCGAGACAGAUGCAGAGAAGGACCAACCAAGUGCCUCACUUGAACCUGGCCAGUAUUCAAAGUCUAACAUAAAAGAAGGUGUGUGUGUGGUGGGGUUAAGCACAGAACAAGGAGCCUUCCCUGCUACUCAGACCCUAUAUGGAAUCCCAGACUCUUGAAACAAUUCCUCUGCUCUGCAGUGUAACUACACCAUGGUCUAGAUGGCCCAAGACUCCAGGUUCAAGUAGCAAAGAAUCUCCUAAU